CUUGGUGACUAUAGCGCGGGGGAUCCACCUCUUCCCAUUCCGAACAGAGCCGUUAAGCCCCGCAGCGCCGAUGGUACUGCCUUUUAGGUGGGAGAGUAGGUCGUCGCCAAGU
rnacentral:rRNA from 2 species